rnacentral:misc_RNA from 1 species
GUUCUUUUGUAAUUAAAUGGUGCAAAAACAAUACCAAAGUGAACAAAAAGUCUGAAGACAUAUCGUUUCACACGACCUACCGGAUGAGUCUAAAAUCAGUCGUUAACCAAGAUUCAAUCUUUGAUACACCUAGAAAACAUAAACUAAGAGAAAAGUAAAAAAAAAACAUGAACUUUAUUUUUAAAAAAAAUGUAAAAAAAUUAAAUCAUUACAGCAAAGAGUUAGACGUCUUUAAAAUAGGAACUUGCCCUUCAGAGGAAUCAUCAAUUACUUAAAAACGCAAUUUUCAUUGACACAGAUUUAUAUAAUUCAUUAAAUAAAAACAUGGCUGCAAUAGAUUUAUUUAACAAUUUGAAG